rnacentral:lncRNA from 1 species
UCAAGGUUUCACACAUAUCUUUGAAUCCACAUUUGAGAGCAAAGAAGCUGUAGCUGAGUACGUUGCUCAUCCUAUUCACGUUGAGUUCGCCAACAUGUUCCUAGGCAGCUUGGAUAAAGUGUUGGUUAUAGACUACAAGCCUACCUCUGUUUAGAUUCAUCAUCUUGUGAUCUAUUUUUUUUUUUUAUAGACUACAAGCCUACCUCUGUUUAGAUUCAUCAUCUUGUGAUCAAUUUUUUUUUUUAAAAUAAAGUAUGUUCCUUUUGAGGAAUCAUGGCCUUUUGUUUGCUUGUGUUGUUAUAAUGUUUCUGCCGAUCUCUUUCUUUUUUGUUGUAUCAGACAAUGUGUGUUUUCUUUUAUGGUUUGAGUACUUGUGGUUUCUUAAUUUCUUUUUUUUUUUUUUUUUUUUGUAUCAGACAAUGUGUGUUUUCUUUUAUGGUGUGAUUACUUGUGGUGUGGAUUUAUCUCUUUUACAUAUAAGGGGUGAUGUUUCGGUGAGAUUUCUCUCCCAGACACAACUUACGAGGUAAGGUGAAGCUAGCUAGGUGACCAGUGUGUAAUAGCGUUAUAGUGACUACUCAUUUUCUUCCCAACAAAGGAAAGUUUUCACCGGUCAACUCUUCCUUCCCGUUGGAAAACCCUAUUUC